GGGGUGCUCGAGUGGCGAACGGGUGAGUAACACGUGAGUAACCUGCCCUUGACUUUGGGAUAACUUCAGGAAACUGGGGCUAAUACCGGAUAGGAGCUCCUGCUGCAUGGUGGGGGUUGGAAAGUUUCGGCGGUUGGGGAUGGACUCGCGGCUUAUCAGCUUGUUGGUGGGGUAGUGGCUUGCCAAGGCUUUGACGGGUAGCCGGCCUGAGAGGGUGACCGGCCACAUUGGGACUGAGAUACGGCCCAG
rnacentral:rRNA from 1 species